GAUGAACGCUGGCGGCGUGCCUAAUACAUGCAAGUCGAGCGAACAGACGAGGAGCUUGCUCCUCUGACGUUAGCGGCGGACGGGUGAGUAACACGUGGAUAACCUACCUAUAAGACUGGGAUAACUUCGGGAAACCGGAGCUAAUACCGGAUAAUAUAUUGAACCGCAUGGUUCAAUAGUGAAAGACGGUUUUGCUGUCACUUAUAGAUGGAUCCGCGCCGCAUUAGCUAGUUGGUAAGGUAACGGCUUACCAAGGCAACGAUGCGUAGCCGACCUGAGAGGGUGAUCGGCCAAACUGGAACUGAAACAGGGCCCAGACCCCUAGGGGGGGCAGCAGUAGGGAAUUUUCCGAAAGGGGCGAAAGCCUGACGGAGAAACCCGGGGGGAGGGAUGAAGGUUUUCGGAUCGUAAAACUCUUUUAUUAGGAAAGAACAAAUGUGUAAGUAACUAUGCACGUUUUGACGGUACCUAAUCAGAAAGCCACGGCUAACUACGU
rnacentral:rRNA from 1 species